rnacentral:rRNA from 1 species
UACGUAGGGUGCAAGCGUUGUCCGGAAUUAUUGGGCGUAAAGAGCUCGUAGGCGGUUUGUCGCGUCUGCUGUGAAAACCCGAGGCUCAACCCCGGACUUGCAGUGGGUACGGGCAGACUAGAGUGUGGUAGGGGAGACUGGAAUUCCUGGUGUAGCGGUGAAAUGCGCAGAUAUCAGGAGGAACACCGGGUGGCGAAGGCGGGUCUCUGGGCCGAUACUGACGC